rnacentral:rRNA from 1 species
CUGGAAGGCUUGAGUACAGAAGAGGAAAGCGGAAUUCCACGUGUAGCGGUGAAAUGCGUAGAGAUGUGGAGGAACACCAGUGGCGAAGGCGGCUAUCUGGUCUGUAACUGACGCUGAGGCGCGAAAGCAUGGGGAGCAAACAGGAUUNAGAUACCCUGGUAGUCCAUGCCGUAAANCGAUGAGUGCUAAGUGUUAGGGGGUUUCCGCCCCUUAGUGCUGGAGCAAACGCAUUAAGCACUCCGCCUGGGGAGUACGGCCGCAAGGCUGAAACUCAAAGGAAUUGACGGGGACCCGCACAAGCGGUGGAGCAUGUGGUUUAAUUCGAAGCUACGCGAAGAACCUUACCAGGUCUUGACAUCCCGCUGACCGGUAUAGAGAUAUACCUUUCCCUUCGGGGACAGCGGUGACAGGUGGUGCAUGGUUGUCGUCAGCUCGUGUCGUGAGAUGUUGGGUUAAGUCCCGUAACGAGCGCAACCCUUGACCUUAGUUGCCAGCAUUUAGUUGGGCACUCUAAGGUGACUGCCGGUGACAAACCGGAGGAAGGUGGGGAUGACGUCAAAUCAUCAUGCCCCUUAUGACCUGGGCUACACACGUGCUACAAUGGACGGUACAGAGGGUUGCCAACCCGCGAGGGGGAGCUAAUCCCAUAAAACCGUUCCCAGUUCGGAUUGCAGGCUGCAACUCGCCUGCAUGAAGCAGGAAUCGCUAGUAAUCGUGGAUCAGCAUGCCACGGUGAAUACGUUCCCGGGUCUUGUACACACCGCCCGUCACACCACGAGAGUUUGUAACACCCGAAGUCGGUGGGGUAACCCUUUUGGGAGCCAGCCGCCGAAGGUGGGACAGAUGAUUGGGGUGAAGUCGUAACAAGGUAGCCGUAUCGGAAGGUGCGGUUGGAUCAC